GCAAUGAACUCAGGAUUAAGACACAUUCAAAUGCACAUGCCACUCUGAAAAUCGAAAGGACCAGCUAGUUAGUACCCUUUUUGACCGAUUGUUCACCUUGCAGGGUUGUCCCAUUGAGCUUGCAUCAAGCACUACUGCGUAUAUUUGAGUUCUUUUUUUUUUUUUCUUUGUUCAGUUCCGUAGGAAAAAGCAAAUGAUAUAUUUGAGUGGGCUAAAGCCUAAGUUUGAAAUAGCUGGUUGUCUCAAGCCUAAAAGCCCUUAGUUUCAGCCCAUCACGCGGUUUCAAAUUUUUCCAGUUAUGACUAAGAAAUCUCGAACGAAAACGGUAGCGUAUUAUGUCAAUGAGGAUCAGAGAGCAAGGAUAACAUAGUUCCUCUACUCUCUGCAAUUCAGCGUCCAAUUCAUCUCCCCAGAAUCAGAGAUCUCUCUUGAAAACAAAUGGGCACAAUAACUCAUUUUUUCAAGAACCAAAAUGGAAAAAGUCGAACCCUAAUUUCAACAUUAAGAACCCACAGUAUCAAAUCAAACUCAUUUAGCACCAACGCUGACACUAACCAAAGCGACAACACAGUGAAAGAGAUCACGUCAUUAUUGAAGCAAAAGAACUGGCAAUUCCUAAUAGAAUCAUCACCCUUACCAAAUAAACUAAACCCAGAUGUUGUUUUCUUAGUUAUCAAACAAAACCAGGUAAUUGACCCUAAACGCCUCCAUGGGUUCUUUAAUUGGGUUAACUCGAGAACCGUUUUUUCUCAAAAUCUUUCUACUUUUUCUAUUCUUUCUUUGAUUUUAUGCAAUUCUGGGCUUUUUGGCAAUGCCGCUAAUGUUCUGGAAAGAAUGAUCGAUACUCGUAACCCUCAUGUGAAGAUUUUGGAUUCAAUUAUUAAGUGUUAUAAAGAGAUUAAUGGGAGUAGUAGUAGUAGUAGUGUGGUGGUUUUUGAAAUCUUGAUUGAUAUUUAUAGAAAGAAAGGGUUUUUAAAUGAGGCUGUUAGUGUUUUUUUAGGAGCUAAAACUAAUGAGUUCAUCGUUGGUUUAGCGUGUUGUAAUUCUUUGUCGAAGGAUUUGUUGAAGGGUAAUAGAGUGGAGUUGUUUUGGAAAGUUUAUAAGGGGAUGUUAGGGGCUAUUGUACCUGAUGUCUACACUUAUACAAAUUUGAUAAAUGCAUAUUGUAGAGUAGGGAAAGUUGAGGAGGGGAAACACGUGCUUUUUGAUAUGGAAGAGAAGGGAUGUAUUCCUAAUUUAGUUACUUAUAGCGUGGUGAUUGCUGGGUUGUGUAGAGCUGGGGAUGUUGAUGAAGCUCUUGAGCUUAAGAGGUCCAUGGCUAAUAAGGGUUUGCUUCCAGAUAAUUACAUUUAUGCUACGCUUAUUGACGGUUUCUGUAGGCAGAAGAGAUCUACGGAGGGGAAAUCAAUGUUGGACGAGAUGUAUACUAUGGGUUUGAAACCUGAUCAUGUUGCUUAUACUGCUUUGAUUAAUGGAUUUGUGAAGCAGAGUGAUAUUGGAGGAGCUUUUCAGGUGAAAGAGGAAAUGUUUGCUCGUAAGAUUAAAUUAAAUACUUUCACAUAUUAUGCACUUAUUCAUGGGUUGUGUAAGAUUGGUGAUUUGGAGAAGGCAGAAGAUCUUUUUAGCGAAAUGACCAUGAUGGGCAUAAAACCUGAUAUUCAGACAUAUAAUUGUUUGAUUGAGGGAUACUAUAAGGUGCAAAAUAUGGAAAAGGCAUAUGAGUUACUAAUUGAGAUUAAGAAAGAGAACUUGACAGCCAAUGCUUACAUGUGUGGUGCGAUAGUCAAUGGCCUUUGCCAUUGUGGAGAUCUUACACGGGCAAAUGAAUUGUUUCAGGAGAUGAUUUCCUGGGGUUUGAAACCAAAUAUUGUCAUCUACACGACUAUAGUAAAAGGUCUCGUCAAGGAAGGUAGAUUUGAAGAGGCCAUAAAAAUUUUAGGAGUUAUGAAGGACCAAGGUCUAUCACCUGAUGUUUUCUGCUAUAACACUGUUAUAAUUGGCUUCUGCAAGGCUGGUAAAAUGGAAGAAGGGAAGAGCUAUUUGGUUGAAAUGAUCGCAAAGGGCUUAAAGCCAAAUGUUUAUACGUACGGGGCUUUUAUUCAUGGAUACUGCAGGGCUGGGGAAAUGCAAGCAGCAGAGAGGUCCUUUAUAGAGAUGCUAGAUAGUGGUAUAGCACCUAAUGACGUUAUUUGUACAGAUUUGAUUGAUGGGUACUGCAAGGACGGCAACACCACCAAAGCCUUUGCAAAGUUUAGAUGCAUGCUUGAUCAAGGAGUUCUUCCAGACGUGCAGACCCAUAGUGUCCUCAUCCACGGUCUUUCAAAGAAUGGGAAACUUCAGGAAGCAAUGGGAGUGUUCUCUGAACUACUUGACAAGGGUUUGGUACCUGAUGUCUUUACUUAUACUUCUCUCAUUUCUAACUUGUGCAAGGAAGGUGAUUUAAAGGCGGCCUUUGAACUUCAUGAUGAUAUGUGUAAAAAAGGCAUCAACCCAAAUAUUGUCACUUACAAUGCUCUGAUCAAUGGACUCUGCAAGUUAGGUGAAAUUGCAAAAGCCCGGGAACUGUUUGAUGGAAUUCCAGAAAAGGGUUUGGCUCGUAAUAGUGUGACCUAUUCUACAAUUAUAGCUGGAUAUUGCAAAUCUGCAAAUUUAACCGAGGCAUUUCAAUUGUUUCAUGGCAUGAAGUUGGUGGGGGUUCCACCGGAUAGUUUUGUCUAUUGUGCCUUAAUUGAUGGAUGUUGCAAAGCAGGAAAUACAGAGAAGGCUCUUUCCUUGUUCUUGGGAAUGGUGGAGGAGGGCAUUGCUUCUACUCCUGCUUUCAAUGCUUUGAUUGAUGGCUUCUUCAAGUUGGGGAAGCUGAUUGAAGCUUACCAGUUAGUGGAAGACAUGGUCGAUAACCAUAUUACACCAAAUCAUGUGACAUAUACAAUUCUGAUUGAAUAUCAUUGCACGGUAGGAAACAUAAAGGAAGCAGAGCAGCUCUUUAUGGAGAUGCAGAAAAGGAAUGUAAUGCCAAAUGUUUUAACUUACACAUCACUACUACAUGGAUAUAAUCGUAUAGGGAGAAGAUCUGAAAUGUUUUCCCUCUUUGAUGAGAUGGUUGCGAGGGGUAUCAAACCUGAUGAUUUGGCCUGGAGUGUGAUGGUUGAUGCUCACCUGAAAGAAGGUAACUGGAUUAAAGCCUUAAAGUUGGUUGAUGACAUGUUAUCGGAGGGUGUGAAUGUGUGCAAAAAUUUGUAUACCAUACUAAUUGACGCUCUUUGCAAGCAUAAUAAUCUUUCGGAGGUGUUGAAAGUGCUUGAUGAAGUUGAAAAGCAAGGUUCCAAGCUCAGUCUUGCUACUUGUGGAACGCUAGUUUGUUGUUUUCACAGAGCAGGAAGGACAGACGAAGCUCUGAGAGUUCUAGAAAGCAUGGUCAGGUUUACAUGGGUUCCCAACUCUACUGUCUUAAGUGAUUUAAUCAAUGAAAACCAAGAUAUUGCCAACUCUGAGAUUGCUGAUGAUUUCUUAAAGCGAACAACAACGGGAGCUGCUUGUCAGGCUCAAGCCUGAUUGCUGAAAGUUUAGCAUGAGACAGAGCUUUCUUUACUGAAGAUGGUCUUUUUUGAAUCUAUUAGAGUUCUCAGUGCGCAAUGGGAAUCGUGGAAAGUCUAAUGGGGAGAUGUUAUCAAUUAUACUUGAAGGUAGAAAGUCAUUAUCUGGUGAUAUCCAAACACUUGAUGUUGAUUUAUUCAAGGAGUUGUCUUCAAGCACUUCAAAUCAAGGUAAAAAUGCUUCUGCUAUGGCACCGAAACUUGGUUCAUCUGCUAAACGUAAUAAGGAUAUCGCAAAUGACCAACUUCCAUUUUCCUCAAAUUGUUGGUGGUCUUGGAAUGACUAACUUUAUAAGCAGGUGAAACAAAUUAUUUCAACGAAAGCUGAAGGUUGUUUUUGGGCAAUUUCUUUCAAGAAUGCUAUCAUGUGGCCGUGCAAACAUCUAAACAAACCUCGGGAAACUGAGGCAUGCAAACUCAAGAAGAAUUCAGGUUAAGCUUCAAUAUUUAACCAACGACCUGAUUCAACUCAAAUGUAACAUGGAAAUCUGAAAUCUUUAUAAGACUAGAGCUGCAUUGUUGUGCAUUUUGGAGGGAAAGUAGACAGAAAAUUUGGAAGCUUGGAACUAUGCUUCUUUGAACUGUCUGAUGCUUAGAGUUCUGUGGGGAUAAUCAAGGUGCUGCUGUGAGCAACCUGAUACUGGCACUUAGGCUUAAUGCUUUAAUCCCAUGGGUUUGGAAGUUAUGUGAACGAGAAUGCUUACAUAUCCUAUAGCUCCUUGGGAUUCUGCCGCUCCUCGUUCCCAUCAUAAGGAAUACUAACACAUUUUGACAUCAUAGAAUUUGUUCUAACUGCUAUUUGGCUUUGGAACAGAUUAGAGGGGAAAAGUGCGAAGAGGGGAUAAAGAUAGGGCGAAGCUGAUUUGAUUAUGUUGUCAGUUGUCUGAAAGAUAGGAUCGGACAGCUGCGUUUACUAUAAUUUGUUGGUGUAGGCAGCAAUAUAAAGAUUUGCAGAUAGGGAGCUCAUGCAAAGGCUGGGAUCUUGAUCAUAGUUUUUCGUCUAAUUUAAUGGCCUCUUUCCAUCUUGAGGUUUACACAAGUUGAUAGUCUCUUGAAGUCUAACACCAGUUGAUAGAUUAUAGUUUUCUUAUAUAAUAAAUUUCAUUAAUUUUAGAUCA